rnacentral:rRNA from 1 species
UACGUAGGGUGCAAGCGUUAAUCGGAAUUACUGGGCGUAAAGCGUGCGCAGGCGGUUUUGUAAGUCUGACGUGAAAGCCCCGGGCUCAACCUGGGAAUUGCGAUGAAGACUGCAAGGCUAGAAUCUGGCAGAGGGGGGUAGAAUUCCACGUGUAGCAGUGAAAUGCGUAGAGAUGUGGAGGAACACCGAUGGCGAAGGCAGCCCCCUGGGUCAAGAUUGACGCUCAUGCACGAAAGCGUGGGGAGCAAACAGG